rnacentral:rRNA from 1 species
AACGAACGCUGGCGGCGUGCCUAACACAUGCAAGUCGCACGAGAAUUGGGUAGCAAUACCCAUAGUAAAGUGGCGCACGGGUGAGUAACACGUGGAUAAUCUACCUCUGGGAGGGGGACAACCUGCCGAAAGGCGGGCUAAUACCGCGUAAGACCACGGUGACUGCGGUCACAGUGAUCAAAGGUGCCCUCUAUUUAUAAGGUACCGCCCAGAGAGGAGUCCGCGUCCCAUUAGCUAGUUGGUAGGGUAAUGGCCUACCAAGGCUACGAUGGGUAGCUGAUCUAAGAGGAUGAUCAGCCACACUGGAACUGAAACACGGUCCAGACUCCUACGGGAGGCAGCAGUGGGGAAUAUUGGACAAUGGGGGGAACCCUGAUCCAGCCAUGCCGCGUGUGUGAAGAAGGCCUUUUGGUUGUAAAGCACUUUAAGCGAGGAGGAGGCUACUAGUACUAAUACUACUGGAUAGUGGACGUUACUCGCAGAAUAAGCACCGGCUAACUCUGUGCCAGCCGCCGCGGUAAAAC